rnacentral:rRNA from 1 species
GACGAACGCUGGCGGCGUGCCUAAUACAUGCAAGUCGAACGCUUCUUUCCUCCCGAGUGCUUGCACUCAAUUGGAAAGAGGAGUGGCGGACGGGUGAGUAACACGUGGGUAACCUACCCAUCAGAGGGGGAUAACACUUGGAAACAGGUGCUAUACCGCAUAACAGUUUAUGCCGCAUGGCAUAAGAGUGAAAGGCGCUUUCGGGUGUCGCUGAUGGAUGGACCCGCGGUGCAUUAGCUAGUUGGUGAGGUAACGGCUCACCAAGGCCACGAUGCAUAGCCGACCUGAGAGGGUGAUCGGCCACACUGGGACUGAGACACGGCCCAGACUCCUACGGGAGGCAGCAGUAGGGAAUCUUCGGCAAUGGACGAAAGUCUGACCGAGCAACGCCGCGUGAGUGAAGAAGGUUUUCGGAUCGUAAAACUCUGUUGUUAGAGAAGAACAAGGACGUUAGUAACUGAACGUCCCCUGACGGUAUCUAACCAGAAAGCCACGGCUAACUACGUG